rnacentral:tRNA from 2 species
GCCGCGAUAGUAUAGCCCGGUCAAGCCGUGGUGCCGAGAGUAUGCAGGCCUCUCAAGCCUGUGGCCCGGGUUCAAAUCCCGGUCGCGGCA